AUGAACGCUGGCGGCGUGCCUAAUCCAUGCAAGUCGAGCGAACAGACGAGGAGCUUGCUCCUUUGACGUUAGCGGCGGACGGGUGAGUAACACGUGGGUAACCUACCUAUAAGACUGGGAUAACUUCGGGAAACCGGAGCUAAUACCGGAUAAUAUUUCGAACCGCAUGGUUCGAUAGUGAAAGAUGGCUUUGCUAUCACUUAUAGAUGGACCUGCGCCGUAUUAGCUAGUUGGUAAGGUAACGGCUUACCAAGGCAACGAUACGUAGCCGACCUGAGAGGGUGAUCGGCCACACUGGAACUGAGACACGGUCCAGACUCCUACGGGAGGCAGCAGUAGGGAAUCUUCCGCAAUGGGCGAAAGCCUGACGGAGCAACGCCGCGUGAGUGAUGAAGGUCUUCGGAUCGUAAAACUCUGUUAUUAGGGAAGAACAAACGUGUAAGUAACUGUGCACGUCUUGACGGUACCUAAUCAGAAAGCCACGGCUAACUACGUG
rnacentral:rRNA from 1 species